GUUAGGAAUCUUCCGCAAUGGGCGAAAGCCUGACGGAGCGACACCGCGUGGAGGAUGACGCCCUUUCCGGGUGUAAACUCCUGUUCUGAGGGAACAAAUUUUUGAGUGUACCUCAGGAGAAAGCAUCGGCUAACUACGUGCCAGCAGCCGCGGUAAGACGUAGGAUGCAAGCGUUACUCGGAAUCACUGGGCGUAAAGCGUCUGUAGGCGGCAGGGUAAGUCUGCGGUGAAAGGCAGGAGCUCAACUCCUGUAACGUCGCGGAAACUGCCUUGCUUGAGCAACUAAGAGGCAUCUGGAAUGCCGUGUGUAGGGGUAAAAUCCGUUGAUACACGGUAGAACGCUAAAAGCGAAAGCAGGAUGCUAGGAGUUUGCUGACGCUGAGAGACGAAAGCGUGGGGAGCAAACGGGAUUAGAUACCCCGGUAGUCC
rnacentral:rRNA from 1 species